rnacentral:rRNA from 1 species
GACGAACGCUGGCGGCGUGCUUAACACAUGCAAGUCGAACGGAAAGGCCCUGCUUGCAGGGUACUCGAGUGGCGAACGGGUGAGUAACACGUGGGUGAUCUGCCCUGCACUUCGGGAUAAGCCUGGGAAACUGUGUCUAAUAUCCGGUAUGGGCCAUUCUUAGUGUGAUGGUUGGAUAGUUUUUUCGGUCUGGGAUGAGCUCGCGGCCUAUCAGGUUGGUGGUGGGGUAAUGGCCUACCAACGCGGCCGAGGGUGGCCGGCCUGGGGGGGUGGACGGCCAAAAUGGGGCUUGGGGACGGCCCAAGAUCCCAAGGGGGGGAAGCAGGGGGAAAAAUGGACAAAGGGGGGGAGGCUGGUGCAGGGACGGCGCGGGGGGGAUGACGGCCUUCGGGGUGUAAACUCGUUUCGCUAGGGAAGAAGCUUUUUGUGACGGUACCUAGAUAAGAAGCACCGGCUAACUACGUG